rnacentral:sRNA from 1 species
GCAACCCUGAGCAUACUGGGAACUCGGCGAGUAGUCUCCAUCCUGGGCGUGGAAAGCCAGUCUGUGUCCCUGGCUGCCUGCCACCUGCUGCAGGUUAUGUUUGAUGCCCUCAAGGAAGGUGUCAAAAAAGGCUUCCGAGGCAAAGAAGGCGCCAUCAUCGUGGGUGAGUGGAAGCAGGUCUGGGGUCUUUUGGACAUUACUGUCAUGGAAGGGAUGGGACUGAGCCAGCCAGGCCAGUUUUUUGGGGACCAGACUUGCAGCUGCAGGUUGUUUGGAAUACGGUUUGGUGACAUUAUUUUACUCUAGAUUCUCAGCAGCCAAGGUGCCUCAGGACAAAGCUGGAGCUCAGUCUGGAGCCUGGGAUGCAGAUCCCCCCUUCCCUGUGUCUCCCUGGUUUGUUGGAGAAGUUGAAGGGUCAAACUGGGCUGGGCUGCUGUGGAGCCCACUGAUGUCUUCUUGUUGCCAGAUCCCGCCCGGGAGCUGAAGGUCCUCAUCAGUAACCUUUUAGAUCUGCUGACAGAGGUGGGGGUCUCUGGCCAAGGCCGAGACAAUGCCCUGACCCUCCUGAUUAAAGCGGUGCCCCGGAAGUCUCUCAAGGACCCCAACAACAGCCUCACCCUCUGGGUCAUUGACCAAGGAGGAGGAGCAGCUGGUGGCCGUGGAGGCUCUGAUCCAUGCAGCCGGCAAGGCUAAGCGGGCCUCAUUCAUCACUGCCAAUGGUGUCUCGCUGCUGAAGGACCUAUAUAAGCGCAGCGAGAAGGACAGCAUCCGCAUCCGGGCGCUAGUGGGACUCUGUAAGCUCGGUUCGGCUGGAGGGACUGACUUCAGCAUGAAGCAGUUUGCUGAAGGCUCCACUCUCAAACUGGCUAAGCAGUGUCGAAAGUGGCUGUGCAAUGACCAGAUCGAUGCAGGCACUCGGCGCUGGGCAGUGGAGGGCCUGGCUUACCUGACCUUUGAUGCCGACGUGAAGGAAGAGUUUGUGGAGGAUGCGGCUGCUCUGAAAGCUCUGUUCCAGCUCAGCAGGGUAGCUCUGUGGUUCCUGCUGUCAGCCUGGGGACACUGUCUAGGAUUAGAGCUUACCAGGCUUUCUCGGCAGGGCUUGGCCAAUGGGGUCUUUUGACCCCAGGGAGGAGGGCUGGUGGCUGAGUGGCUGCUCUGUGUAGUGUGGGCAUGUUGGCCAGCACCAGUGGUGUUAGCAAGGACGUUCUUCUUGGAGGAACUGGGGAGGUCAAGUUUGUAAGCUCCCAAAGUCUGGGGCCUGGGGAGUUUCCUGAAUUCAUCCUGUACCCAAGGGUCC